GCGUCUGGAGGACAUGAAAAUAAGCUCAUGCAUAAUACCUGCGAACUAGCACGCUAGCUAAAGUUUGGAUUGAGCUAAGUGAUGAUUAGAUCAGAGACUGACAUGGGCGGAGGCAAAUGCUGGAAACCACAAUCUAAACUUUGUUCCCAUAAAAACUCUUGGCUAAUUUGCAAGUGAUGCACGAACUCCAGUUGAGCUGUACUCGGCCAUGGAAAAAAAGAGAGGAGAAGGAGUUCACCCUCCGCUUGCAGAGGGAUGGUGUGUCCCCUGAGGCUUCAGUAGAGGAGCGUGAGCUGCACCUGUGGCGUUUGCUCCAGCGCAGUGAGGGCAGCCUGUGUGCAGCCACUGAAGACCUGCAGACUUUACGCACCCAGCAGGCCAGCGAGAUGAUAGAGGUGGAAAAUUACAUGGAGCAUAUUCGAAACAUGCUGGAGGAGCGGGAAUCUCUUACAGCAUAGUAUGAACAUGACAGCGAACAGC
rnacentral:lncRNA from 12 species